rnacentral:lncRNA from 1 species
UGCACCUAUCCCACAACCUUUGUUGAGCCACAUUAAUGGCAGGUCGGGAGCAUGUGCCAUCAACAAAACCAAUUUUGUUUUUGGCUGAUAAAUCAACAAUCAUUUUACGUCUCCAGCUCCCAUAACCACUACCCGAGAAGAGAGUGGGAACAAGAGAGACCCUAGGGACAUCAGAAGAAUAUACAAAAAGGGGACUGGAAGAGUCUACAGAGGAGGAGGCACCAGUAUUUGUGUUAGAAGCCAUAGUCAAUGAACCGGCUUAAAAGAACAAUUUUUCAACAAACAGAGUAUAACCAAAUCAGGUA